CAACCCCCAUUCCUUCCACCCCAGAAUCUCUCCUGGCCUGCAGGCACACAAAGAACCAAAGGCGUGGCUACAGCCAGGCUCCUUCGGGUUGCUGAGUCAGCACAAUACGGCCUACUGUCUCCUCAGACCACAGGAUACCUGCUCCACUUCCGAGAAGAGAUGAGACCUCUCAUACCUGUGAUGAGAAGACAUGGACAGUGUCCCUUCGUGGGACUGACCUGACCAUGGAGAGACUGUGUGGACAGGGUUUCAGGCUGGAGAGCUGGCUCAGCAGUUACGAGCACUCGGCUGCCCUUCCUGAGGUCCCAAGCGUAAUUCCCAACAACCACAUGGCUCACAACUAUCUGUGUGGAAUCUGAUUCCCUCUCCUGCUGUGUGUGAAGA